GACCUCCGUAGCUUAGUCGGGAAAGCACCUCACUACGGAUCGGUAGGAUUCGGGUUCGAGCCCCGAUCGUCUACA